GAGAGAGACAUGCGCGCAUAUCAAUAAGCGGAGGAAAAGAAACUAACAAGGAUUCCCUUAGUAACGGCGAGUGAAGCGGGAAGAGCUCAAAUUUGAAAUCUUCAAGGUUCUACCUUGACGAAUUGUAGUUUAUAGAAGUGCUUUUCUGUAGUGGAGUUUGGUAAAAGUUCUUUGGAAUAGGACAUCAUAGAGGGUGAGAAUCCCGUAUUUGGUCAUUCCUCCUAGCGUUGUGAUACACUUUCAAAGAGUCGGAUUGUUUGGGAAUGCAGUCCAAAAUGGGUGGUAAAUUUCAUCUAAAGCUAAAUAUUGGCGAGAGACCGAUAGCGAGCAAGUACCGUGAGGGAAAGAUGAAAAGAACUUUGAAAAGAGAGUUAAACAGUACGUGAAAUUGUCAAAAGGGAAGCGUUUGACACCAGUGUUGUUUUUCCGAAAAUCAAUUACGAAUGUUUUGUUUUUAAGAAGUUAUGACUUCAUCGGCUUGCUUCUUUCUUUACGAAACUUUCUUAAUGCACUUUUCGGUUAACAAGUCAACAUCAAUUUCUUUUGUUGUAAAAGGGUAUGAGGAAGGUGGCUUUCUUUUCGGAGAAAGUGUUUAUAGCCUUUGGCUUCUGCAAUCGGAGAGAUUGAGGUCUGCAGCGUAGAUCCUUCGGGGCUAGGUACGUAGAUGCUAAGUUAUAGUUUUUCAUAGACAACUUGUUGACUAUGAUUAAUCAUGUAGCUUACUCGUUUGCGCUAUUUUACCUACGCUUAGGAUGUUGAUAGUCACAGCGUGUAC
rnacentral:rRNA from 1 species